rnacentral:misc_RNA from 1 species
CUCAGCCCCAACACCAUAGCCUUGCUUCGCCUGCUAAACUUUCUUUCCCUCUAUAUAACAAAAGCAGCUAGGGCUAGACGAAGAAGACACACAACAGCAGCAAAGCUAUAAGAUGCCUUGCCUUUACAUCUCUACUAACGUUAAUCUCGCCGAUGUUGAUACUGAAGCCAUCUUCUCCGACGCCACCAAAGCUGUCGCUACCAUCAUCGGAAAACCUGAACAUUU